ACAAGUACCUAAGACCUCACAUCAUUUAGUAAACAAAUCACAAUUUCUAUGAGAUUAUGUACCUUAUAAACUGAUAAAAGAAUAAUUGUUUCUGAAAUACUCAGACUCUAUUAUCGAGCUUUGGUUUAUCAUUAUAACACAAUGCCAAUUAUCAAGGCAAUCGUUCAAGACAACGGAGAUAUGAUAUGCCUGGCAGCUCUUGUGCAAUAUAUAAAUGUACUUUAUUGACUUGAUAUAAUGAAACGAUGGUUACAUGAUAUUUGUUCAUCAAUGCAUGUAGAUGCAUUUUCUUAGUUUUUA